UGCAUGACUGGGCUCCCGUCAUCCUGGUCAUCGACAUUCAGACAUUCGGCCCCCUCUGCGGCCAAGGGCGGAAGGGCUAAAGGCUGGGGGAUGCUGCUGGAUCUGUGAGAGGGGUUGAAUACCAAAUGUUUGGCCAUGGCAUCUCCCACAGAGGUAACAAAGGUACAUGAAGUGCAAGCCAGCUUGAUACCACUAAGAAAAAGAAUCAAGAGUAUAUAAAACAAAUAUAUCAAUGACACUAGGGAUAAAAUCUGAGGCCUGAUUAAAAAAAAGAGAAUAUCCUUUCUCCUCUUUCUCAAAUUAAUUCACGUACCUCCCCCAAGUUAAUUAAAAGGAUUUAAUGUUACGAAUGUGGAAAAUUAAGAGACCAACACUAAGCUUUCCCUUACCUCACAGAAUUUUUAAACAAAGCCAAAUACUUGGGGCUCUUGCGUGGAACAUGAUUGCUGAGAAAGACAAAGAAAAAACAGCAUGAGUUAGGGGGUUCUGAUCAUUAAACAAGAGAUCACCAGUUUCUGACAAUGCCCCAACAAAAGAGAUGCCACUUUAAUCCAUCUUCACCUCAACCUAAGCCAGUUUUCCUACCAUAUUAAUAUUCCCUAUUAAUAUGCAUAUGUAUCACCAGAAGAGCUAUUAAAACACACAUUCUGACUCAAUAGCCUGGGGUUGGAAGGAAGGGCUGAAUUUCCAACAAGCUCCCAUCUAUUGCUGCUGGUGUUUGAGCCACACUCUGAGUAGCAAAAUCCUACAAAAUCAGAGCACAGACCAUCAAAGUCAAAUGUACAUGGGUUUGACUCUUAUCCUACUAGGAGAGAUGGACAGACAGCUCUAAGAGCUGAAGGAGGGAAUAAAAUGAGUUCUGGAGACUCUGGAGAUAAGAUCACUGGUUUAACCCAGACUUACUUGAUCAUGUGGUUGGCAUAGGCUCGAGAGCAGCAGGUGCUAUAGCGACACAGAGAGCAGUGAACGUAAGUAGGGAAAUGAUUAGGGAAAUCCGGAAUCUCAAAGCUGCACUCCAGGCAUGUCUGCCGACCCAUAACACUCCUGUUGAGAAACAAGGAAAAUUCCUGUUAUUGCCCCAGGAGUCCUCAAAUUGUGGGGGCUUCAGACAACAGAUCCUGCUAAAAAGGCUAGUAGAUUACACUGGCUAUAGGAACAGUCGUGCCCACCCAGCCCCCAGCCUCCAGAAGCCACUGACAUUUUCCUAACAGCUCUCUUCUGGAUGUUGCGUCGGACGGGGGGAUAAAGGAAGACAGGCAGAGGGUCCGUUGAGGAGGUCAGGGGUGUUGCCUCCUGCAAGGUGCUGGGAGGUGCAUCAUUGGAGGAAACAGGAACAGUGCGUGGCUGCCCUCGGGAAGCCCGGAUUGUCACCUGCGAGCCAAGGGAAGGAAAAAUUAGAUACCAGCCAUGCUAAACCUUGAAUACUAAUAAUCUCUAUUCCCCUCCACUUGGAUCUAUAUAAGAUACAGUGACAAGUCUUUUACCUUUGUGCCUGGUUUCAAACCUUCCAGCUGCUUGGGUUUACGGAAAGUUUUAUGAUGCUGAAGCUUGUGUUCAAUUUUGUCCUUGGCAAAGAGAAACUGCAGCCGGCAUUUGUUGCAGUGAUAAACAUUCCUCUUCUGAAGGGGGAGAAAGAAAGAAAAUCCCUUAAAGAUUCCCAAUAAAUUUUCUUCCCUGAUGAGAAGGCAGAUGCAUGCUAACAAUCACUCCUUCCCCCUUUCUGUGGAUAACUGAAAGAGGAAGAAAUACACAACACCAAACCUACCACUGAGAAUCAUCACGUCCCAUGGUCCCAAAGAAAGGCAGACUCACAGCCAGGAUGACUAGGUCCUCCAACCAUCUCUUCUUGACUUGGUUUAACAAUGUGGAUUAGUGGCUUAAGCUUUACUUGCACCUAUUUUGUCUUUAUAAUGCAGACAGUGCUACCUACUUCUGGAUAUUCUUUCUUUUUUUAAACACAGUAAAAUGUACAUGAUGGAAAAAAAAAUCAUCACUUUUUAUUCCACGCCUUCACAAUUUAAGUUUGCCUUCAAUUCCAACCCUCCACCUCUUUGCACAGAAACAAUUUGCUACUAGUUUCCUGGGUAUUCUUUCAGACAUAGCCACAUAACACACACACACACACACACACACACACACAUCUCCAAUCAUGACCUCCCUGUUUGUCCUUUUUCUUUAACAUGAAUAACAGUAUUCUUCUAUAGCUUUUCUAUACCUUUCUAUUCCUUGCUAUCUUUCCUCUUAACACUUCAAUAUAUAUACAUGCAUCUGUUCCUGUGAGACCAGUUUGAGGAUUCAGACUGCCUAGUAUUGAAGUCCUUCAGAAACAGGACUCAGGUCUAUGGUUUUCUUCCCAGGAUAACAAGGCUCCAUUACCUGAGUACAAGGGACAAUUUCCACACUGCUCUUUGCAAUACACAUGUGGGGGAUUAUAGGCAGUCACCCCUAUGCAAAUUAAGUGUGUGAGCCCAAGACGGAGCUCACACGUGAGAGUGCAGGCACGUGAGUGCAGACCCAGGCAAGUGUUCAGCACAGGUGCAACCAUGUGGUUCUCCAUUUUGUGCCUUCUCUAUGUACCUUCACUCUCCUCUUCUAGUGGCUCCUUUGUUGCAGCAUUUAAAACAAGGCCCUAUUUAUUCCAUCUUAAAAACAAAACACAAAAGCAACGACAAAUUCUCUUCUGCUACCUCUUUCCCUGGAUGUGCCAGCCCUCAAUCUUCCCCUUCUGAAACUUUAAAAAAAAAAAAAA